AGGAAGGCAGGCAAAGGAAAGGAAUAAUGGAAGAAGGAAGGACGAGGAAGAAAGGAAACAAGAAAGAAAAAGAAAGGGAACAAGGAAGGAAGAGGAAGGGAAAAGGGAAGGGAAAGAAAAAAGGAAAAGAGAAAAGGGGAAAAAAAAAUAUUGCCAGGAUCUGUUCUUGGACCUUAAUGACGAAUGACAUAGAAUGGCUUGUAUUCCUGCAGCUAAGUUAAUUUUUUUCUCCCCAAAACAAGGUGGCCUCAUCCAUGCUGCCUGUUUAUUACAGCUCUGAACAUUGCACAGCUAAGCAGUUUGAGUUGGUGCCAUG
rnacentral:lncRNA from 1 species